GCAUUUGAGGGUUAACGGAUUCCUAAUCCGUGUGUCGCCAGUUCGAGUCUGGCCAGGGGUA
rnacentral:tRNA from 1 species